GACGAGGAGGCAAGCGUUGCUCGGAAUUAUUGGGCGUAAAGCGCACGUAGGCGGCUUAGCAAGUCGGAAGUGAAAUCCCACGGCUCAACCCAUGGAAGUGCUUUCGAAACUGCUGAGCUUUGAAGUACAAAAGAGGAUCGCUGGAAUUCCCGGUGUAGAGGUGAAAUUCGUAGAUAUCGGGAGGAACACCAGUGGCGAAGGCGGGCAUCCUGGACCGACAUUGACGCUGAGGAGCGAAAGCUAGGGGGAGCAAACGGG
rnacentral:rRNA from 1 species